rnacentral:rRNA from 1 species
AUUGAACGCUGGCGGCAUGCCUUACACAUGCAAGUCGAACGGCAGCACGGGGCAACCUGGUGGCGAGUGGCGAACGGGUGAGUAAUGCAUCGGAACGUGCCAUUGAGUGGGGGAUAACGUAGCGAAAGUUGCGCUAAUACCGCAUAUUCUGUGAGCAGGAAAGCAGGGGACCGCAAGGCCUUGCGCUCUUUGAGCGGCCGAUGUCAGAUUAGCUAGUUGGUGAGGUAACGGCUUACCAAGGCGACGAUCUGUAGCGGGUCUGAGCGGAUGAUCCGCCACACUGGAACUGAGACACGGUCCAGACUCCUACGGGAGGCAGCAGUGGGGAAUUUUGGACAAUGGGCGCAAGCCUGAUCCAGCCAUGCCGCGUGAGUGAAGAAGGCCU